CUCAAUAAUUAAUGAUUUUCCGCGAAAUGAUACGCCAGCUUCACACACACCAAAACGUUCCGUGCAAAUGAGUUGGAUGUGCUUUGCGGCAUUUUCAAUUUGGAAAACAACUGCGGAAGGAUAUCGCAUAUCGAAAAAAGUAAAAGAAGAAGAGGAGCAGUAUCUUCGUCGGAAAGAAGCAUUUUUCAGUGACAAAUACUCAAUGGCAUAAACUGAUAAAUGUCAACUAAUAAAUUGAGUAAUUAUUGAACUUACUGGCGAAUCAAAGUUGUUGGUGAAUUAAACUGAUAAAUGUUUAGUGAUUCUAUUUUGGUUGUACAGGUGAUGCACUUGCUUGGCUUUAUUCUGCCAGCAGGGCAUGGUCGCAUUGUAUGCAGAUCCCCUGCAGAAGAUCAACCUGCUUGUCAUCGAAGAGAUGCACACAUGAAUAAAUUUGUUUCAACAUCUUGGGGAAAAAAGAUUCUUCGAGAGAAGGUUACCGAAACGUUGAUAUUGAAUGUGUUAAGAGAUUAUAAACAUUUUAUCAGAAUAUCUCUAAAGAUUAACACAUUCAAUGAAUUAACAUUUAACUCGAGCUGGAAACCAGAGUUUCAUCCGACGUUGCCGGUUAGCCGAGACCUUCGACGGUCUUUCUCGUUCUCGAACCGUAUAAUUGUAUACUGAACCAGUGAGGAUUCUCUAAGCUUCGGAUCUCCACAAGCACUGUAUUUUCAUCACGACUGCGGUACUCUGAUUGAUAUUGCAUGAACGCUCACAUAUAUCUGAUUUUGAACUUACGUAACUGUGAUGAGCUCAAUCAAUUAAUGGAAGGAAAAGAAAACGGACGUAAAAAAAUAACUUUACGACAUUGCAGUAGUAUAUUGUUAAUAUAAUUCGUUUUUAAUAGUUUUAUUUCAUGGAAAUGUUUUCAAACAUGAUCACAGAAUUUUUAUUCUUAAGCAUGAUAACAAAA